rnacentral:rRNA from 1 species
GCUUGUUGGGGUUGUAGGACACUCUAUACGGAGUUACAAAGGACGACAUUAGACGAAUCAUCUGGAAAGAUGAAUCAAAGAAGGUAAUAAUCCUGUAGUCGAAAAUGUUGUCUCUCUUGAGUGGAUCCUGAGUACGACGGAGCACGUGAAAUUCCGUCGGAAUCUGGGAGGACCAUCUCCUAAGGCUAAAUACUCUCUAGUGACCGAUAGUGAACCAGUACCGUGAGGGAAAGGUGAAAAGCACCCCGGAAGGGGAGUGAAAUAGAACCUGAAACCGUGUGCUUACAAGUAGUCAGAGCCCGUUAAUGGGUGAUGGCGUGCCUUUUGUAGAAUGAACCGGCGAGUUACGAUUUGAUGCAAGGUUAAGCAGUAAAUGUGGAGCCGUAGCGAAAGCGAGUCUGAAUAGGGCGUUUAGUAUUUGGUCGUAGACCCGAAACCAGGUGAUCUACCCUUGGUCAGGUUGAAGUUCAGGUAACACUGAAUGGAGGACCGAACCGACUUACGUUGAAAAGUGAGCGGAUGAACUGAGGGUAGCGGAGAAAUUCCAAUCGAACCUGGAGAUAGCUGGUUCUCUCCGAAAUAGCUUUAGGGCUAGCCUCAAGUGAUGAUUAUUGGAGGUAGAGCACUGUUUGGACGAGGGGCCCCUCUCGGGUUACCGAAUUCAGACAAACUCCGAAUGCCAAUUAAUUUAACUUGGGAGUCAGAACAUGGGUGAUAAGGUCCGUGUUCGAAAGGGAAACAGCCCAGACCACCAGCUAAGGUCCCAAAAUAUAUGUUAAGUGGAAAAGGAUGUGGCGUUGCCCAGACAACUAGGAUGUUGGCUUAGAAGCAGCCA